CCCUGGAGGACUAGUGGUUAGACCUUGGCACUCUCAGUGCCAUGGUCUGGGUUCGAUUCCUGGCCACUGGGG